rnacentral:rRNA from 1 species
GGGGUAUAUGUCUUCGGAUAUAGAGACCGGCGCACGGGUGCGUAACGCGUAUGCAAUCUACCUUUCACAGAGGGAUAGCCCAGAGAAAUUUGGAUUAAUACCUCAUAGUAUUAUUGAGUGGCAUCACUUAAUAAUUAAAGUCACAACGGUGAAAGAUGAGCAUGCGUCCCAUUAGCUAGUUGGUAAGGUAACGGCUUACCAAGGCAACGAUGGGUAGGGGUCCUGAGAGGGAGAUCCCCCACACUGGUACUGAGACACGGACCAGACUCCUACGGGAGGCAGCAGUGAGGAAUAUUGGACAAUGGGCGCAAGCCUGAUCCAGCCAUGCCGCGUGCAGGAUGACGGUCCUAUGGAUUGUAAACUGCUUUUGUACGAGAAGAAACACUGCUUCGUGAAGCAGCUUGACGGUAUCGUAAGAAUAAGGAUCGGCUAACUCCGUGCCAGCAGCCGCGGUAAUACGGAGGAUCCAAGCGUUAUCCGGAAUCAUUGGGUUUAAAGGGUCCGUAGGCGGUUUAGUAAGUCAGUGGUGAAAGCCCAUCG